GACGAACGCUGGCGGCGUGCCUAAUACAUGCAAGUCGAACGAACUCUGGUAUUGAUUGGUGCUUGCAUCAUGAUUUACAUUUGAGUGAGUGGCGAACUGGUGAGUAACACGUGGGAAACCUGCCCAGAAGCGGGGGAUAACACCUGGAAACAGAUGCUAAUACCGCAUAACAACUUGGACCGCAUGGUCCGAGUUUGAAAGAUGGCUUCGGCUAUCACUUUUGGAUGGUCCCGCGGCGUAUUAGCUAGAUGGUGGGGUAACGGCUCACCAUGGCAAUGAUACGUAGCCGACCUGAGAGGGUAAUCGGCCACAUUGGGACUGAGACACGGCCCAAACUCCUACGGGAGGCAGCAGUAGGGAAUCUUCCACAAUGGACGAAAGUCUGAUGGAGCAACGCCGCGUGAGUGAAGAAGGGUUUCGGCUCGUAAAACUCUGUUGUUAAAGAAGAACAUAUCUGAGAGUAACUGUUCAGGUAUUGACGGUAUUUAACCAGAAAGCCACGGCUAACUACGUGCCAGCAGCCGCGGUAAUACGUAGGUGGCAAGCGUUGUCCGGAUUUAUUGGGCGUAAAGCGAGCGCAGGCGGUUUUUUAAGUCUGAUGUGAAAGCCUUCGGCUCAACCGAAGAAGUGCAUCGGAAACUGGGAAACUUGAGUGCAGAAGAGGACAGUGGAACUCCAUGUGUAGCGGUGAAAUGCGUAGAUAUACGGAAGAACACCAGUGGCGAAGGCGGCUGUCUGGUCUGUAACUGACGCUGAGGCUCGAAAGUAUGGGUAGCAAACAGGAUUAGAUACCCUGGUAGUCCAUACCGUAAACGAUGAAUGCUAAGUGUUGGAGGGUUUCCGCCCUUCAGUGCUGCAGCUAACGCAUUAAGCAUUCCGCCUGGGGAGUACGGCCGCAAGGCUGAAACUCAAAGGAAUUGACGGGGGCCCGCACAAGCGGUGGAGCAUGUGGUUUAAUUCGAAGCUACGCGAAGAACCUUACCAGGUCUUGACAUACUAUGCAAAUCUAAGAGAUUAGACGUUCCCUUCGGGGACAUGGAUACAGGUGGUGCAUGGUUGUCGUCAGCUCGUGUCGUGAGAUGUUGGGUUAAGUCCCGCAACGAGCGCAACCCUUAUUAUCAGUUGCCAGCAUUAAGUUGGGCACUCUGGUGAGACUGCCGGUGACAAACCGGAGGAAGGUGGGGAUGACGUCAAAUCAUCAUGCCCCUUAUGACCUGGGCUACACACGUGCUACAAUGGAUGGUACAACGAGUUGCGAACUCGCGAGAGUAAGCUAAUCUCUUAAAGCCAUUCUCAGUUCGGAUUGUAGGCUGCAACUCGCCUACAUGAAGUCGGAAUCGCUAGUAAUCGCGGAUCAGCAUGCCGCGGUGAAUACGUUCCCGGGCCUUGUACACACCGCCCGUCACACCAUGAGAGUUUGUAACACCCAAAGUCGGUGGGGUAACCUUUUAGGAACCAGCCGCCUAAGGUGGGACAGAUGAUUAGGGUG
rnacentral:rRNA from 1 species